CCACGGGGGGUCGAAGUGAGGAAGAGUGGUCAAGGGGAGAGAGCCGGAACCAGACAAGGCGCGUGAGGGAAGACGGCCCUAUGGGUUGUAAACCUCUUUUGUCGGAGAACAAAACCCGGGACGUGUCCCGGACUGCGUGUAUCCGAAGAAAAAGCAUCGGCUAACUCCGUGCCAGCAGCCGCGGUAAUACGGAGGAUGCGAGCGUUAUCCGGAUUUAUUGGGUUUAAAGGGUGCGUAGGCGGUCCGUUAAGUCAGCGGUAAAAUUGCGGGGCUCAACCCCGUCGAGCCGUUGAAACUGGCAGACUUGAGUUGGCGAGAAGUACGCGGAAUGCGCGGUGUAGCGGUGAAAUGCAUAGAUAUCAUACAGAACACCGAUUGCGAAGGCAGCUUACCAAGCUACUUCUGACGUUGAGGCACGAAAGCGUGGGGAGCAAACAGGAUUAGAUACCCGUGUAGUC
rnacentral:rRNA from 1 species